CGCAAGUAGCACCACCGUGUGCCGCCGUCGCACAGCCCCUGCCGCAAGCCACCUCCGUUCGCCGGCCAACUCUCUCUCCUCCUUCUUGAAUUGGCGGAGAAUUCUCUUUAGGCGACUUUUGAAAGUGUUAAGGUGGCCUAUCAGUUUGUUUACACAAGUCUCUAAGGAUCAAUAAGCGUUGCCCAUCUACAGGUUUGAAGAUGAUGCAUCAUUGGGAUCGGGAUUAGAGAGCUUGUAGUUAUAUUUUCUUUAUUAAGUGAUUUGGUUUGUUAACUUAAAUUUGAAAUUUGUCGUACUAUUCGUAUUUCCUUAUUUCAGUUAAUUGGUUUUGGACCUAAUAUGUAAUAAGAUUAUUUAUGAACCUAAAAGUUAGUUUUAUGUUUUC